UGAGGGAGACCUACCCACUCAGAUAUCGAAAGGAAAUUCUUUUCUUAAAGAUAUUGAGUUGGUCAUCCUCAGGUCGGUCGCAGAAAAGGCUUUACAGCUUUCAAACUAUAUUUCGGUUCGAUUAAGGGCUAUUAGCUCAGGUGGUUAGAGCGCACCCCUGAUAAGGGUGAGGUCCCUGGUUCGAGUCCAGGAUGGCCCACCUAAAGCAAGUUAAAGAAUCAAAAAGUAUUUGAUUGCACUUGUGUCUGGGGGUUUAGCUCAGUUGGUAGAGCGCCUGCUUUGCAAGCAGGAUGUCAGCGGUUCGAGUCCGCUAACCUCCACCAAAGAAUAGGGAAAAAAACAGCAACGAGGCGAAUUAGCCAGACUGCUGGAAAAUUUUCCAGCCAGAACCUUGAAAACUGCAUAGUAACGCGAAGCAGGCAGACACAGACAGAAAAAGUCGAGUGUUUGCGAAAUGUCAUGU
rnacentral:tRNA from 1 species